ensembl:lncRNA
CCCCUCCCCUCUCUUCUCCUCCCUCCAUCUCUCUCAUCAUCCCUUCCCCCUCUCUCCUCAUCCCCUCCCCCUCUCUUCUCCUCCCUCCAUCUCUCUCCUAUAGAUUUAUGAGCUCUAACCCUGUAGGAGUGGCAGUAACACAGAGCCUGGGGGGCCUGGGGCCUCUCUCUGUAACAGCAGCUAGAGGAUACUGCUGAGACCUCACACACACCCUUCUACAUACAGACACACCACACAGUAACACAGGGCUGGACCAGGGGCCUCUGUAGCAGCACUAUACCCCUGAGACCUGCCUAAGAAAACAGAAUGAAGACAGGCAAGAAAAGCUGUGAUAACUAGGAACAGGUCCGGCCAGUGACUCAUAGACAGACCUCACAGUGGCUUGUGGGCGUAGUGGGAGUGUGUGUGGAGGGGGAACGUGUGUGUGUGUGUGUGUAUCAUUCCAUUGGGCAGAAGCUGGCCUAGGAUCCCUCUGAUUGCUGGUUAUCUUCAGAUGGAAGCUUUAAUCACACAGGAGGACAUCAGUGUGUGGAAACUCCCUUAAAGUUAGGACUCUUGCCAUUGCUAAGGGGAGCUCCCAAUCUCACACACACACACACACACACACACACACACACACACACACACACACACACACACACACACACACACACACACACACACACACACACACACACACACACACACACACACACAGACACACACACACACACACAUGCUUAGUGUUUGUCUCUAAACAUGCCUGUUAUAGAAAGGACUCCCUGCAUUGCAGAAGUGUCUAGGGGAGUGUUAGAGGGUGAUUAUUUCACCCCACUCUAAAACACACAUCUGACAAUCAGAUACUGUAAAGAAAACAUGGUGAUUUGAUUUGUCAUUAUUUCUGGGACUAUUAGUCUCUGGAGACUCCUGGUGUUUGUUCUAGCCAAGUUGGCUGGGAGUCUGACACCCCCCCUGUGUUGUGGAACACAUGAACCAAAAUGAGAACCGUGUCUGUCUGUGUGUGUGACCCAAAUGGCAUCCUAUUCCCUACAUAGAGCCCUAUAGGCCCUGGUCUAAAGUAGUGCACUAUGUAGGGAAUAGGGUGCCAUUUGGUACACUGACAGUGUGUGAGGUAGAGCUGUUCUCUUCUGCUUUCUCCAUCUACCCUCUGUUAUAAACCUCCCUGAAGAAUGACUGACUGGAUGGAUGGACAGAGAGAGAGAGAGAGAGAGAGAGAGAGAGAGAGAGAGAGACAGAGAGAGAGAGAGAGAGAGAGA